GAACGUAAAGAUCACUCCCACCUUCCUCAGUCCCUCCAUCAGGGGCACUGCUGUCAUUUCUGAUCAGCACCUCUCUGCAUCUGUCUACUCCAAUGAUGUAAAUACAUCAUUGGUCUACUCCCUCCCUCCUCCCAACACUUUCAACUGUCUCCUGGGGGCGCGUUCAGUCAGCAGGAGAACAAUAACAGUCACUAGAGAGGUAGAGUCUAACACAACGCUGCUGCUUUAUCAGGCUGUGGAGCUCGCCUCAUCUCCUAGCUACAGGUGGAUAGGGGGAACUUUAGAAACUACAAAUGCAACUGUGAUCAAGAAGGAUUUUAAAGACUUUCCUGCAUUUUCCACUGUGUCCAUGGAGAUUAGCAGUGUUUCUCUUGCUUACCCGACGGUGUUUGUAUAGCUGAGGCCUUUGUCCUCCAGGAAGAUUAUGAGCGAGCAGUGUGCUGUGUUCAGCUGGAGAGACUCUACCACCAGAGAUGACUACACAACCUGACAACACUGCAGGAACAGUGGGGUAUCUCUCACUCACUCACUCACUCACUCACUCACUCACUCACUCACUCACAGAGCCAAUUGAAGUCUCAUUAUGUAUAAUUACCUCACCUUCUCUCCCUCCCCUUACUUUCUUGGUGUGUUUAUGCUGUGUCAUGAUUAUUUCCUCCCUCUAACCUCUGACCUUUGUUCUUCCAGAGAGGAGGUGUAGGUCAGACGGUCAGGGAGUGAGGAACAAUAACACCAACCUGGCUGCACAGCAACUGGACAGACUCGCAUACAUCUGCCAAACACACCAACGGUUUGUAAAGGGGGUCUUUAGAUGUGGUCCUUUACAGCUCAGUACAGGUAAAUGUCCUAUAACAAGGAAGACCUUGAGAGGCAGGUAAAGGGAUGUACAUCGACACACCUGUGCUCUCCCAGGUAGUUACAGUGGUGAUGGGUUUAACAUAUGGCUCUUUGGUGUUGCUGCACUUUCAGUCAUUUGAGUUGCAGCACUGCUAGAGUUUGACACACACUGAAAAACAUAGGGAAAUGAGCAUUCCCUGGUGGCCUUGGCUACUCAGACCUUUCUUCAAUCAUAGAGGAGGAAAGUCACAGUACUAACUGACUUUAUCUCUCUCUCUCCCCCCAUCUCUCUCUCUCCCCAUCUCUCUCUCUCUCCCCAUCUCUCUCCCCAUCUCUCUCCCCAUCUCUCUCCCUAUCUCUCUCCCCAUCUCUCUCUCUCUCCCCA
rnacentral:lncRNA from 13 species